ACGGGAGGCAGCAGUGGGGAAUAUUGGACAAUGGGGGGAACCCUGAUCCAGCGACGCCGCGUGAGUGAAGAAGUAUUUCGGUAUGUAAAGCUCUUUAAGCAGGAAAGAAAAUGACGGUACCUGCAGAAUAAGCCCCGGCUAACUACGUGCUAGCAGCCGCGGUAGUACGUAGGGGGCAAGCGUUAUCCGGAUUUACUGGGUGUAAAGGGAGCGUAGACGGCAAUGCAAGUCUGAAGUGAAAGCCCGCGGCUCAACUGCGGGACUGCUUUGGAAACUGUAUGGCUAGAGUGUCGGAGAGGUGAGUGGAAUUCCCAGUGUAGCGGUGAAAUGCGUAGAUAUUGGGAGGAACACCGGAGGCGAAGGCGGCUCACUGGACGAUUACUGACGUUGAGGCUCGAAAGCGUGGGGAGCAAACAGGAUUAGAUACCCUGGUA
rnacentral:rRNA from 1 species